AAGAAAGAUCGCGUUAGUCCCUAAAUCAAAAUACAGAAAAUAGUGCUGGAAAACGCGGCACGUGCUCGGGGCAGGCUAUAAGAAGAAGAAAAGUCAAAGUGAAAGGAAGGGUGCAAAUUAAAAAGCAAAUUUCUGUGGUUUAAAAUUGAAGAAAUGGUAUAAAAUGAUUUAAAACAAUGUCGGGAGUUCUGGUUUGUGUUGUGCCUCAACUUGUAUGCGCCAAAAAAGAAAUAUGAUCAGGCGGCGAAUCGAACAACUUUCCUCGCCGGCAAAUGGAGUCCCUGUGAAAGUUUUACUUACAUACAUACAAAUGUAUGUAAAAGAAAGGUGUUUCUGUCUAUUAAAACAGGAGAAGCUUAUGUAAAUUUAUGUUAAAAGUGUUAACUAAAGUGUAAGGUCAAGAAAUCGGCGGCUAAAUGCGUAAAAUAUAUGAUUAAAAGGAAAAAAAGCAACCCGCUUGUUUGUAUGCAUGCAUGUGUGUGUGACGUGCCAAUUUGCAUGGCGUUUCGUGCAUACAAACAUACAUAAAUAUUGAUUGUUGUGAGUGAUUUAAAAGUGAUUUUAAAAAGGUAUGUUUAUAAAAAAUAUUCUCCGCGUAGUGCAGUUAACCGUAAUACUACUGAGAGAAAAUGUAAAGAAGAAAACAAAAGAAGAACCGCAAAAAUAAAAU
ensembl:ncRNA lncRNA:CR46148 long non-coding RNA:CR46148